AACCUAGCACACCUGCGGUGUGUACCUGCGGAGGGAUCAUUACCAACCUUUAGUGAGCCAUGGAGGUGUUCAUGGUCUCGCGAAACUGUAUUUUAAAACCCGCUCAUAUAACUAAACAUGUAGUAAUCAUGAUAAUUAAAGAUAACUUUCAACAAUGGAUCU
rnacentral:misc_RNA from 1 species